rnacentral:rRNA from 1 species
GUCUAUGACCAUGCCACCCUGAACAAGCCUAAUCCCAUCUGAUCUCGGAAGCUAAGCAGGGUCAAACCUGGUUAAUACUUGGAUGGGAGACCAUCUAGGAAGACCAGGUGCUGUAGGUG